rnacentral:rRNA from 1 species
GACGAACGCUGGCGGCGUGCUUAACACAUGCAAGUCGAACGGAAAGGCCCUGCGGGGUUCUCGUGCGCCAGUCGCGAGCGUAUGAGGAACGUAAGAUUAACCUGCCCUUGACUUUGGGAUGGGAACAGGGAGCUAAUACUAGUACCGGCUAGGUGCUGCUGGUGGAUGGUGGGAGUGGGAAUUUUUCGUCGGUUGGGGAUGGGCUCGCGGCGUAUCAGCUUGUUGGUGGGGUAGUGGCCUACCAAGGCGAUGACGGGUAGCCGGCCUGAGAGGGUGACCGGCCACACUGGGACUGAGAUACGGCCCAGACUCCUACGGGAGGCAGCAGUGGGGAAUAUUGCACAAUGGGCGGAAGCCUGAUGCAGCAACGCCGUGUGAGGGAUGAAGGCCUUCGGGUUGUAAACCGCUUUCGGCAGGGACGAAGCGUGAGUGACGGUAAUGGGAGAAGAAGCGCCGGCCAACUACGUG